ensembl:lncRNA
CUCUCCGUCUCUUUCUCACUGUCUCUCUCUCUGUCUCUCUUUCACUCUCUCACUGUCUGUCUCUCUUUCAGUGUCUCUCUGUCUCUCUUUCACUCUCUCACUGUCCCUCUCUCUUUCUCUCUUUCACUGUCUCUCUCUGUCUCUCUCUCUGUCUCUCUUUCACGGUCUCUCUCUCUCCGUCUCUCUCUCUCUCCCCUCUCCGUCUCUCCCUCUCUCCGUCUCUCUCUCUCUCUCUCUCUCGAAGUUAAUCUGUGAUACGGCGCUGUGGUAUAAACACUGUUAAGAGACGCUCUUUUCUUUCAAUGGAACAGAAGAACUCGUAAAGCAGAAGAGGCUCAGACCAAACACGGAGAAGGAAAACCUGCUUGGUGGAAAGUCUAGUCUUGUUCUGCGUUAGAGAGGUAACGCAACGUGACGCGUAUCCUCACACACAGCCGUUUUAGCUAUUCCACUGCAUCUACUUUAUUUCAUUCUUUCGCCAUUUCCCUUCGCUGACAACUAUGCAAACGUCUGUCUGUGGUCUCAGAGAUACCGAAACGCAGAAGUAUAAAUCAGGCCUCCGGAGAGUUCAUGUGGAAUUAUUCAACAUGUAAAGUAAAAACGGAUUGACGUAUUUAUCACACUUUAUCCUGGGAUUUGACCUCACGACCUUCUGAUCACUAACCGCCGGGCUGCUUUACUGCCACGUCACAAGUUCGGUGCAAAAGCAAAUCCCCAUGAACUCCUGCCAUGAAUUUUUAAAUUUUAGUCCAAGCCAAAAGCAGUGUAGUAUUAACCAUAGCACACUGAGACUUUAAUGAUUAUCACUCCCCAUAAGGCCAAACGUCUCGUCUUGAAUUGAGAUCUUGACCCCAUGAUGCUUUAAUAUCCAAUUAUUCAUCAUUAAAGCAGCAGCGAGUCUUGUCUGAGCAUUUUUAGCAUUUUAAAGUAAAAUAACUGAUUUUAUUCGGUUACUUUCUAAAUGGCACUAUUUGAUUUUUUUUUUUUUGUAAAAAGUUUAUAUCUGUGAUUGCCUUUCAUUAUUAUAAAUUUUUUUUUAUUCAAGAGAAAUCCCAUCCGCUGUUUUAAAUGGAAACUUUUGCUUGUUUUUUUUUUGUUUGUUUUUUUUGUAUUUUUUUAAAGAAAAUCUAAUGUCGUCCUGUCGUAUCGUGCACUUUCAUAAGUGGCUUUGUGUCUUGGUUUCCGUCCUUUUUUUUUUUUUGUGCUGUUGUUGCUGUGUAGUGUUUUCCAGGAAGCGGGUUUAGCCAUGAAUAUGAAAACUCUACUGGAAGAUACAGUAAUAAAAUUGUUUCUGUAUCACAGACUCAAGCGUCGUCUUUUAAUGUGCAGCACGUAGCUGAAGCUGUACUGCAGAGUGAUCUCGUACGUCUGCGGCUUCUCAAAACACCUUCAUAAAGAAGCAUCGACGGGACCACUGACUACAUUACACAGACACUACUUACACAAUCAGUACUAUACACAAACAUACUUACACAAUCAUUACAUACACAAUCAUUACUUACACAAACACUACUUACACAAACACUACAUACACAAUCAUUACUUACACAAACAUUACUUACACAAUCAUUACUUACACAACAUUACUUACACAAUCAGUACUUACACAAUCAUUACUUACACAAUCAUUACAUACACAAUCAUUACUUACACAAUCAUUACUUACACAAUCAUUACAUACACAUUACUUACACAAACACUACAUACACAAACACUACUUACACAAACACUACUUACACAAUCAUACUUACACAAACACUACUUACACAAUCAUUACAUACACAAUCAUUACUUACAGUAACACUACUUACACAAACACUACAUACAAACACUACUUACACAAUCAUUACAUACACAAACACUACUUACACAAUCAUUACUUACACAAUCAUUACUUACACAAUCAUUACAUACACAACACUACUUACACAAUCAUUACAUACACAAACACUACUUACACAAACACUACUUACACAGACACUACUUACACAAUCAUUACUUACACAAACAUUACUUACACAAACACUACUUACACAAUCAUUACUUACACAAACACUACUUACACAAUCAUUACAUACACAAACACUACUUACACAAACACUACUUACACA